CAGCAGCCACGGGAAUACGAAGGGGGCUAGCGUUGUUCGGAAUUACUGGGCGUAAAGCGCACGUAGGCGGAUAUUUAAGUCAGGGGUGAAAUCCCGCAGCUCAACUGCGGAACUGCCUUUGAUACUGGGUAUCUUGAGUAUGGAAGAGGUUAGUGGAAUUGCGAGUGUAGAGGUGAAAUUCGUAGAUAUUCGCAGGAACACCAGUGGCGAAGGCGGCUAACUGGUCCAUAACUGACGCUGAGGUGCGAAAGCGUGGGGAGCAAACAGGAUUAGAUACCCGAGUAGUCCCUGUCUCUUAUAC
rnacentral:rRNA from 1 species